rnacentral:rRNA from 1 species
CCCUUAGAUGUUCUGGGCCGCACGCGCGCUACACUGAUGCAUUCAACGAGUUUUUCCUGGUCCGAGAGGAAUGGGUAACCUUUUGAAAGUGCAUCGUGCUAGGGAUAGACUAUUGCAAUUAUUGGUCUUCAACGAGGAAUUCCUAGUAGACGUAGUUCAUCAGACUGCAUCGAUUACGUCCCUGCCCUUUGUACACACCGCCCAUCGCUACUACCGAUUGGGAAAAUUUUAGAGAGUCCUGGACUGAUGAUUGUUCGGCUUCACGGCCUUACUUUCGUCGGGAAAGAAUUCGAUAAUAUUUUUCUAGAGGAAGUAAAAGUCGUAACA